rnacentral:rRNA from 1 species
UACGUAGGGUGCGAGCGUUGUCCGGAAUUAUUGGGCGUAAAGAGCUCGUAGGCGGUGUGUCACGUCGAUCGUGAAAACUUACAGCUUAACUGUGAGCGUGCGGUCGAUACGGGCAUCACUGGAGUUCGGCAGGGGAGACUGGAAUUCCUGGUGUAGCGGUGAAAUGCGCAGAUAUCGAGAGGAACACCUGCGGCGAAGGCGGGUUGCUGGGCUGACACUGACGCUGAUGCGCGAAAGCCAGGGGAGCGAACGGG